rnacentral:rRNA from 1 species
UGCUAAUACCGGAUAACAACAGAUGAUGCCUAUCAACUGUUUAAAAGAUGGUUCUGCUAUCACUCUUGGAUGGACCUGCGGUGCAUUAGCUAGUUGGUAGGGUAACGGCCUACCAAGGCGAUGAUGCAUAGCCGAGUUGAGAGACUGAUCGGCCACAUUGGGACUGAGACACGGCCCAAACUCCUACGGGAGGCAGCAGU